CUACGGGUGGCUGCAGUGGGGAAUAUUGCAUAAUGGGCGCAAGCCUGAUGCAGCCAUGCCGCGUGUGUGAAGAAGGCCUUCGGGUUGUAAAGCACUUUCAGCGGGGAGGAAGGCGGUGAGGUUAAUAACCUCAUCGAUUGACGUUACCCGCAGAAGAAGCACCGGCUAACUCCGUGCCAGCAGCCGCGGUAAUACGGAGGGUGCAAGCGUUAAUCGGAAUUACUGGGCGUAAAGCGCACGCAGGCGGUCUGUCAAGUCGGAUGUGAAAUCCCCGGGCUCAACCUGGGAACUGCAUUCGAAACUGGCAGGCUAGAGUCUUGUAGAGGGGGGUAGAAUUCCAGGUGUAGCGGUGAAAUGCGUAGAGAUCUGGAGGAAUACCGGUGGCGAAGGCGGCCCCCUGGACAAAGACUGACGCUCAGGUGCGAAAGCGUGGGGAGCAAACAGGAUUAGAUACCCCGGUAGUC
rnacentral:rRNA from 1 species